rnacentral:rRNA from 1 species
GGGAGGGUGCGCUUUUAUUGGGCCUAAGCAUCCGUAGCCGGCUAUGCAAGUCUCCGGUUAAAUCCAUCUGCUUAACAGAUGGGCUGCCGGAGAUACUACAUAGCUAGGGAGCGGGAGAGGUAGACGGUAUUCGAUAGGAAGGGGUAAAAUCCUUUGAUCUAUUGAUGACCACCUGUGGCGAAGGCGGUCUACCAGAACACGUUCGACGGUGAGGGAUGAAAGCUGGGGGAGCAAACCGGAUUAGAUACCCGGGUAGUCCCAGCUGUAAACGAUGCAGACUCGGUGAUGCAUUGGCUUGUGGCCAGUGCAGUGCCGCAGGGAAGCCGUUAAGUUUGCCGCCUGGGAAGUACGUACGCAAGUAUGAAACUUAAAGGAAUUGGCGGGGGAGCAC